rnacentral:rRNA from 1 species
UACAGAGGUCCCAAGCGUUGUUCGGAUUCAUUGGGCGUAAAGGGUGCGUAGGUGGCAUGGUAAGUCGGGUGUGAAAUCCCGGGGCUCAACCCCGGAACUGCACUCGAUACUGCCGUGCUGGAGUACUGGAGAGGGGACUGGAAUUUACGGUGUAGCAGUGAAAUGCGUAGAUAUCGUAAGGAAGACCGGUGGCGAAAGCUAGUCUCUGGACAGUCACUGACACUGAGGCACGAAGGCUAGGGGAGCAAACGGG